UACAGAGGGUGCGAGCGUUAAUCGGAAUUACUGGGCGUAAAGGGCUCGUAGGCGGCCAACUAAGUCCGACGUGAAAUCCCAAGGCUUAACCUUGGAACUGCGUCGGAUACUGGAUGGCUUGAAUUCGGGAGAGGGAUGCAGAAUUCCAGGUGUAGCGGUGAAAUGCGUAGAUAUUCUGGAGGAAUACCGGUGGCGAAGGCGGCAUCCUGGACCGGCAUUGACGCUGAGGUGGCGAAAGCGUGGGGA
rnacentral:rRNA from 1 species